rnacentral:rRNA from 1 species
CCUACGGGAGACAGCAGUAGGGAAUAUUGCUCAAUGGGGGAAACCCUGAAGCAGCAACGCCGCGUGGAGGAUGAAGGUUUUCGGAUUGUAAACUCCUUUUGUUAGAGAAGAAAAUGACGAUAUUUAACGAAUAAGCACCGGCUAACUCCGUCCCAGCAGCCGCGGUAAUACGGCGGGUGCAAGCGUUACUCGGAAUCACUGGGCGUAAAGUGCGCGUAGGCGGUAUAGCAAGUCAGAUGUGAAAUCCUAUGGCUUAACCAUAGAACUGCAUUUGAAACUGUUAUUCUAGAGUAUGGGAGAGGGAGGUAGAAUUCUAGGUGUAGGGGUAAAAUCCGUAGAGAUCAAGAGGAAUACUCGUUGCGAAGGCGACCUGCUAGAACAUGACUGACGCUGAUGCGCGAAAGCGUGGGGAGCAAACAGGAUUAGAUACCCUAGUAGUC